UCCGAAUUGGUGUAGUGGCUAACAUUUGACGCUCUCAUCUCGACUUACUUCUAUCAGGAAGUGUAUGGAAAUGUGCCGUCAAGCCCGGGGUUCGAUUCCCCGAUUCGGAG